ensembl:snoRNA
AACCUAAGCAUGAAGAUUGGGUGAUCAGGCUAUUUUAUAAUAUGUGCCUUCCUCAAAACUUGUUACAGUAUUAUCACAUCACCCAUCUGACU